rnacentral:rRNA from 1 species
UACGUAGGGCGCAAGCGUUGUCCGGAAUUAUUGGGCGUAAAGAGCUUGUAGGUGGCUCGUUGCGUCGGGGAGUGAAAACCUGCGGCUUAACCGCAGGCCUGCUUCCGAUACGGGCGAGCUAGAGUUCGGCAGGGGAGACUGGAAUUCCUGGUGUAGCGGUGGAAUGCGCAGAUAUCAGGAGGAACACCGGUGGCGAAGGCGGCUCUCUGGGACGGUACUGACGCUGAGACGCGAAAGCGUGGGGAGCGAACAGG